rnacentral:lncRNA from 1 species
UAAAUCUCAUUCGUACGAGCUAGAGGCGCCCGCACGUGCAACAUUUGGGCCUCACGGGUUUGCGGCUCGCACGGGUUCCUCCUCGGCUAGGGCUGCAAUUGCUGCUGGGUGUGCUAUUAGGUCGGGCUGCUGGGCCCAGUUCCUUCUCUAUCGGGUGCGGAUCUACUGGAUUGGGCCUCAGGGUGAGGGCCAGUCUUUGAGUC